rnacentral:lncRNA from 1 species
GGGUGUUAGAUUCAAUUGACGAAUUUUAAUAUCUAUAUCUUAUUGUUGUGAAUCUCACCCCUUCUGCUUGAAAAUGUUGCCCUUCCUAUGGGUAACUUGCAGGUGAUCCUGAGUAGUAGGUGGUGGCUCAAGUGUCUAGGGCUCUGAUACAUUUGGGAUGGGUUUACCUUAUUUAUGUUUCAUUCCUUAUGUAUCAUAUUUUGAAACUUGAUGUUGUAGCCCUUUUUAGUGGUUGAAUUUAUGUUGUUGAGGCUUUUAUGCCAAGGAUUAUCAUGGAGAAUUAAACAGUUAAUGUUGUUGCUCUUAAUGCAAAUAUUCCGCUGCAGAUUAUUGAGGUUUAAUUAAAUAGUUUUAUAUUUCUAUUUAAGAAAAAUUUGAAAAUGUAGUGUGACAUGCCCGUUUGGGAUUUACUCUGAUGUAUGUUUAAUUAUUUAAUUACUUUUGGGUAACGGGUUGUUACAAUUGGUAUCAGAGCAGGUUGGUCCGUCCGGCCAAGUAGUAGAGUCGUGUUGAGCCACCUAGGAUAGAGUGUCAACUCUAAUGUUGUCUUUAUUGUUGUCCUGUUUGUUGUUUGUUGUGUCUUGGUAUGAACUGGUUGGAGUAUAACCAUGUUCAUAUCAAUUGCUUUAACAAGACAGUGCAUUUUUCUUCCGCCGAAGAAGAGAGUGGAGUUGAAAUUUUGACUACGAAAGAGAUGAAGCAGCUAGAACGAGAUGGGAUUUUGAUGUAUUCUUUAAUGGCAUAUUUGUCGUUAGAAAACCAAGCUGUGAUUGGCAGGUUACCAGUGGUGAGCGAGUUUCCUGAAGUUUUUCCGGAUGAGAUUCCAGAUGUACCACCAGAAAGGGAGGUUGAGUUCUCCAUCGAUCUAGUACCAGGAACGAAGCCGGUGUCGAUGGCACCUUAUCGUAUGUCGGCAUCCGAACUUGCUGAGUUGAAGAAACAGUUGGAGGACUUACUCGACAAGAAGUUUGUAAGACCAAGUGUUUCACCGUGGGGAGCGCCUGUGUUGUUGGUAAAGAAGAAGGAUGGUAGCAUGAGGUUAUGUAUUGACUACCGUCAAUUGAAUAAAGUUACGAUAAAGAACAGAUAUCCGCUUCCGAGGAUUGACGACCUGAUGGAUCAGUUGGUUGGUGCGAAGAUUUUUAGUAAAAUUGACUUGAGAUCAGGUUACCAUCAGAUCAAGGUGAAAGAUGAGGACAUGCAGAAGACUGCCUUUAGGACACGAUAUGGUCAUUACGAAUAUAAGGUGAUGCCUUUCGGUGUUACUAAUGCGCCUGGUGUGUUCAUGGAGUAUAUGAACAGAAUUUUUCAUGCUUACCUGGAUAAAUUUGUGGUUGUAUUCAUUGAUGACAUUUUGAUCUAUUCGAGAACUGAGGAAGAGCAUGCAGAACAUCUGAGGGUUGUAUUGCAAGUAUUGAAAGAGAAGAAGUUGUAUGCCAAAUUGUCAAAGUGCGAGUUUUGGUUAAGUGAAGUGAGUUUUCUUGGCCAUAUUAUUUCUGGUAGUGGUAUUGCAGUGGAUCCUUCAAAAGUUGAUGCAGUAUCACAAUGGGAGACGCCGAAGUCGGUGACAGAGAUCAGAAGUUUCUUGGGUUUGGCUGGUUAUUACCGCAGGUUUAUUGAGGGAUUCUCAAAGUUAGCUUUGCCGUUGACUCAGUUAACCUGUAAGGGUAAGUCUUUUGUGUGGGAUGCUCAAUGUGAGAGUAGCUUCAAUGAGUUGAAGAGAAAGUUGACAACUGCGCCUGUUUUAAUUUUGCCUAAGCCAGAGGAACCGUUUGUUGUUUACUGUGAUGCGUCUAAGCUGGGUCUAGGAGGUGUUUUGAUGCAAGAUGGUAAGGUUGUAGCGUAUGCUUCUAGGCAGCUGAGAGUGCAUGAAAAGAAUUAUCCUACUCACGAUUUAGAGUUGGCUGCGGUGGUCUUUGUUUUAAAGAUUUGGAGGCACUACUUGUAUGGUUCCAGAUUUGAAGUGUUCAGUGACCAUAAGAGCUUGAAAUAUUUAUUUGAUCAGAAGGAGUUGAACAUGAGGCAGAGGAGAUGGUUAGAGCUAUUGAAGGAUUAUGACUUUGGGUUGAACUAUCAUCCGGGUAAAGCCAAUGUAGUUGCAGAUGCCUUGAGUAGGAAGACGUUACACAUGUCGGCCAUGAUGGUAAAGGAAUUUGAGUUGCUUGAACAGUUUAGAGACUUGAGUCUUGUUUGCGAAUUGUCACCCCAGAGUGUGCAGUUGGGUAUGUUAAAAAUCAAUAGUGAAUUCUUGAAUAGUAUCAAAUAAGCGCAACAGGUUGAUGUCGAGUUUGUGGAUUUAAUAGUUAAUAGUAAUCAAGCUGAGGAUAGUGAUUUCAAAGUUGAUGAACAAGGUGUGUUGAAGUUCAGAGGCAGAAUUUGCAUUCCCGACAACGAUGAGAUGAAAAGGUUGAUUUUGGAAGAAAGUCACAAGAGCAGCUUGAGUAUCCAUCCGGGAGCUACGAAGAUGUAUCACGACUUGAAAAAGCUGUUUUGGUGGUCUGGUUUGAAGCGUGAUGUUGCUCAAUUUGUGUAUGCAUGUUUGACUUGCCAGAAGUCUAAGGUUGAACAUCAGAAGCCUGCAGGGUUGUUGACACCAUUGGAUAUACCGGAGUGGAAAUGGGAUAGUAUUUCUAUGGAUUUUGUGACAAGUUUACCUAAUACUCCGAGAGGACAUGAUUCUAUAUGGGUUGUGGUCGAUAGAUUGACGAAGUCGGCGCACUUUAUUCCGAUAAAUAUCAGUUUUCCGGUGGCUCAGUUGGCGGAGAUUUAUAUCCGGGACAUUGUGAAGUUGCAUGGUGUUCCGUCGAGUAUUGUAUCAGAUAGAGAUCCGAGGUUCACUUCUAGAUUCUGGAAGAGUUUGCAAGAUGCUUUGGGCUCGAAAUUGAGGCUGAGUUCGGCUUAUCAUCCCCAGACAGAUGGUCAGUCGGAGAGGACGAUACAAUCCUUAGAGGAUCUAUUGAGGGUGUGUGUACUUGAGCAAGGUGGAGCUUGGGAUAGUCACCUACCGUUGAUAGAGUUUACUUACAACAAUAGUUACCAUUCGAGUAUUGGUAUGGCACCGUUUGAAGCCUUGUAUGGUCGAAGGUGCAGAACUCCUUUGUGUUGGUUUGAGUCGGGAGAAAGUGUGAUGUUGGGACCAGACAUAGUUCAACAAACUACGGAAAAGGUUAAGUUAAUAAGAGAACGGAUGAAAGCGUCGCAGAGUCGACAGAAGAGCUAUCAUGACAAGCGUAGGAAGGACCUUGAGUUUCAAGAGGGAGAUCAUGUGUUCUUGAGAGUCACUCCUAUGACAGGUGUAGGCCGUGCAUUAAAAUCUAAGAAGUUGACUCCGAAGUUUAUUGGUCCUUAUCAGAUUUCAGAAAGAGUUGGAACUGUGGCGUAUAGAGUUGGAUUACCACCUCAUCUUUCGAAUUUGCAUGACGUGUUUCAUGUGUCACAGUUGCGGAAGUAUGUACCGGAUCCUUCGCAUAUUAUUCCUAGGGAUGACGUGCAAGUUAGAGACAACCUUACGGUGGAAACCUUACCGUUGAGAAUUGAUGAUAGGGAGGUGAAAUCCUUGAGAGGUAAAGAGAUACCGCUUGUGAGAGUCGUUUGGGGUGGAGCGACUGGAGAAAGUUUAACUUGGGAGCUGGAAAGUAAGAUGCGGGAGUCGUACCCAGAGUUGUUUGUUUGAGGUAAGAUUUCGAGGACGAAAUCCUCUAAGUUGGGGAGAGUUGUAACGCCCUAGUUGCUAUUUAUUUUAUUUUGAAUUAUUUGGAGUCUCAUAUGUGAUUUUAUAUGAUUUUUGAUGAUUUAUGUGGUGUGUGCAUUUUAAUAUAUGGUUUAAUAAAAUAAUAAUUAAAAUUAGUGGGAAUUAUUAUUAUUUUAGAAAUUAGGGAGUUAAUUAGGAUUUAAUAGAAUUAAGGGGAGUUAAUGAAAUAAAGGGGAGUUAUGUAUUGGGGAGUUAGGAAAAGAAAUAGUCAGAAAAGCAGUUUCACGUACAACAGACAAGUUUUUGGGAAAAGGGAGAAGAAGAGCAAGAACAAGAGAGGAAGGCUUAGGAACCGAUUGUGCUGUUUUAUCUUUCUGCAAAACUAAGGUAAGGGUGAGAUUUGCUUCAGUAAUAUAGUUAUUGAAUUCUGAAUUUGUGAUUUAACAUGUUGUUGUUCUUAGGUUUGGUAAUUGGGAAUUAGGGUUGUAGAAUCGUUAUUAGUUGUUAAUUAAAUAGAAAAUCCAUAGUAAUUGUGUACAGAUGGUGUUCUGAUUAUAGGUUGUUCAUAGUCUAAUGUUUCAAUCAGUUUUGGAGUUGGGUUAAUGAAAAUUAGGAUUUUAUGUUUGAAAAGUUAGUGUCCAACAUUCUACAAAUAAGAGAUCAUGUGGGUUUUGGAAAAAUCGAUUUUUGGUAGUUGAAACUUUAGUUUUUCGGUAGAUUAUGAUAGAGCUAUGUCUCAUGAGCGUGUAGGCGAAAACGGCAUCGAAAACGGGUUAACGGUUGGGUUUUUACGCGCGAAAACGUGAAGGUCGAAAAUCUGAUGCUGUCUGUCAAACCAGGAUCGUGCCACGAUUCGGGACCAACGUGCCACGAUUUUGAUCAGAAAUUUAGUUCGUUUGACACUGGAAAAAUCGUGCCACGAUGGGAUACCAACGUGCCACGAUGCUGUCAUCCAAUAAACCCUAAAAAUGCAAUUUUCUUCACUCCAAAUGCUUCCAAACUUCUUCCUAAGUGUAGGGACUUUAUCCUAAACAUAUAGGGAUGUUUUUAGGAAAGAUAUAACGUUGUAUAAGGGUCUAACAAGUUCAUGAGUGGUCCUUGGGGUAGGGAUGGAAGUUGUCUAUAGGGGUAUAGCCUCUCAAUGUAUCUAAGCUAAUAUAAUUGAUGUUGUUGAUUACUAAUAUCUUUGAGUUGUUGAAUCCUGUUUGAACGUUUUGAAUGGAGCCUGAUGUAUGGGCAUGAUUAAGAUAAAUUGUGCAUUUUUCUGGAUUGUUGGAUUGGUUAAUAAUGAACUAUCGAAUGACUGUGUUGUAUGCUUACAUUCAUUAAAUCAUACAAGUGUGGAGUUAUGGAGAGUUGAGUCAUAUACAUAUAUAUAUGCAUUUGUUGAGUUGUAUGUAGAUAUACACAGGUUGGGUAGUUGCAUAGCAUCAAAGUGGGAGAGCUUCGGCUCUGGAACGCCUUGUCGUUCAAAGCGGUGGAACACUAGUUGUUCAAAAGCGGUGUUGAGCGGUGAGGACUUAGGUCCUGAUGAGAAUGCUUUAACCAUUCGACAGCGGUGUGGGUCACGGCCCUGAUUAUGGUACCACAUGCAUAUUUGCAUUUAUUGAGGAGACUAGGGUGUUGUCUUAGCGGGUUUGUCUUAGCGGUGUUGUCUUAGCGGUGUUGUCAUGUCAUUUGCAUGAGUCGGUGUUGUUGGUUGUAGUUGCCAUAUUGACGAUGAUGAUGUUGUUUUAUGAAGUAUAUAUAUAUAUAUAUGCAUGUAAGAUGAUGAACUGAUUAUAUUUAGGGUGUUAGAUUCAAUUGACGAAUUUUAAUAUCUAUAUCUUAUUGUUGUGAAUCUCACCCCUUCUGCUUGAAAAUGUUGCCCUUCCUAUGGGUAACUUGCAGGUGAUCCUGAGUAGUAGGUGGUGGCUCAAGUGUCUAGGGCUCUGAUACAUUUGGGAUGGGUUUACCUUAUUUAUGUUUCAUUCCUUAUGUAUCAUAUUUUGAAACUUGAUGUUGUAGCCCUUUUUAGUGGUUGAAUUUAUGUUGUUGAGGCUUUUAUGCCAAGGAUUAUCAUGGAGAAUUAAACAGUUAAUGUUGUUGCUCUUAAUGCAAAUAUUCCGCUGCAGAUUAUUGAGGUUUAAUUAAAUAGUUUUAUAUUUCUAUUUAAGAAAAAUUUGAAAAUGUAGUGUGACAUGCC